rnacentral:rRNA from 1 species
AACGCUGGCGGCGUGCUUAACACAUGCAAGUCGAGCGAUGAAGUUUCCUUCGGGAAACGGAUUAGCGGCGGACGGGUGAGUAACACGUGGGUAACCUGCCUCAUAGAGUGGAAUAGCCUUCCGAAAGGAAGAUUAAUACCGCAUAAUGUUGAAAGAUGGCAUCAUCAUUUAACCAAAGGAGCAAUCCGCUAUGAGAUGGACCCGCGGCGCAUUAGCUAGUUGGUGGGGUAACGGCCUACCAAGGCGACGAUGCGUAGCCGACCUGAGAGGGUGAUCGGCCACAUUGGGACUGAGACACGGCCCAGACUCCUACGGGAGGCAGCAGUGGGGAAUAUUGCACAAUGGGGGAAACCCUGAUGCAGCAACGCCGCGUGAGUGAUGAAGGUUUUCGGAUCGUAAAGCUCUGUCUUUGGGGAAGAUAAUGACGGUACCCAAGGAGGAAGCCACGGCUAACUACGUGCCAGCAGCCGCGGUAAUACGUAGGUGGCGAGCGUUAUCCGGAUUUACUGGGCGUAAAGGGAGCGUAGGCGGAUGAUUAAGUGGGAUGUGAAAUACCCGGGCUCAACUUGGGUGCUGCAUUCCAAACUGGUUAUCUAGAGUGCAGGAGAGGAGAGUGGAAUUCCUAGUGUAGCGGUGAAAUGCGUAGAGAUUAGGAAGAACACCAGUGGCGAAGGCGACUCUCUGGACUGUAACUGACGCUGAGGCUCGAAAGCGUGGGGAGCAAACAGGAUUAGAUACCCUGGUAGCCCACGCCGUAAACGAUGAAUACUAGGUGUGGGGGUUUCAACACCUCCGUGCCGCCGCUAACGCAUUAAGUAUUCCGCCUGGGGAGUACGGUCGCAAGAUUAAAACUCAAAGGAAUUGACGGGGACCCGCACAAGUAGCGGAGCAUGUGGUUUAAUUCGAAGCAACGCGAAGAACCUUACCUACACUUGACAUCCCUUGCAUUACUCUUAAUCGAGGAAAUCCCUUCGGGGACAAGGUGACAGGUGGUGCAUGGUUGUCGUCAGCUCGUGUCGUGAGAUGUUGGGUUAAGUCCCGCAACGAGCGCAACCCUUGUCGUUAGUUACUACCAUUAAGUUGAGGACUCUAGCGAGACUGCCUGGGUUAACCAGGAGGAAGGUGGGGAUGACGUCAAAUCAUCAUGCCCCUUAUGUGUAGGGCUACACACGUGCUACAAUGGCUGGUACAGAGAGAUGCAAUACCGCGAGGUGGAGCCAAACUUAAAAACCAGUCUCAGUUCGGAUUGUAGGCCGAAACUCGCCUACAUGAAGCUGGAGUUACUAGUAAUCGCGAAUCAGAAUGCCGCGGUGAAUACGUUCCCGGGUCUUGUACACACCGCCCGUCACACCAUGAGAGUUGGCAAUACCCGAAGUCCGUGAGCUAACCGCAAGGAGGCAGCGGCCGAAGGUAGGGUCAGCGAUUGGGGUGAA